GAGGAAGUAAAAGUCGUAACAAGCUUCGUUCGUAGUGACCUGCGGAGGAUCAUUAACAUAAUAUUCUUACACACUGUUUUUUUACAACAAAACAAAUCUAUCUAAAAACAAUUCUUUACAAGAAAUUCUUAAAACUUUCAACAACGGAUCUCUUGGUUCUCGCAUCGAUGAAGAACGCAGCGAAAUGCGAUACGUAAUACGAAUCGCAGCUCUCGGAAUCAUCGAAUCUUUGAACGCACAUUGCACCAUUGGGUAUUCCCAAUGGUAUGCUUGUUUGAGCGAAUACUUCCCUAAUCCUCACGGAUUGUAUUGUGUUUGCACGAAAAUAAUGACGACAGUACUCUACAAAACGGUACCGUCAGUACACUCAUUUUUUUUCCUCAAAUCAAGUAGGACUACCCGCUGAACUUAAGCAUAUCUAAAGUGGGGGAAGAGAAAAUUUCGAU
rnacentral:rRNA from 1 species